GCAAGCCUGAUGCAGCCAUGCCGCGUGUGUGAAGAAGGCCUUCGGGUUGUAAAGCACUUUCAGCGGGGAGGAAGGCGAUAAGGUUAAUAACCUUGGCGAUUGACGUUACCCGCAGAAGAAGCACCGGCUAACUCCGUGCCAGCAGCCGCGGUAAUACGGAGGGUGCAAGCGUUAAUCGGAAUUACUGGGCGUAAAGCGCACGCAGGCGGUCUGUCAAGUCGGAUGUGAAAUCCCCGGGCUCAACCUGGGAACUGCAUUCGAAACUGGCAGGCUAGAGUCUUGUAGAGGGGGGUAGAAUUCCAGGUGUAGCGGUGAAAU
rnacentral:rRNA from 1 species